AUAUAUAUAUGAGUUCGGCUACUAUACUUUUAUGAGUAUUGGCUCCGUUAUACUCAUAAGUUUUCAGUCGUUAGAUUUAUUCCAUUAAUCAUUUUCACCCGUUAGAUCAUACUAUUCAACAAAUUACCCACUCAACCCUAGAAAACCACUAUAAUUCUAAGUGGGGACCACCAUCAUCCUAACCACACAUCCCAUCAAUCAACGGUUAAAAAUUUAUGAGUAUAAAGGGGUCUAUACUCAUAAGAGUAUAGUAGCUCUAGCAUAUAUAUAUAUAUAUAUAUAUAUAUAUAGAGCAGGGCUGCUGUGCUCUCAGGAGCACGGAGGCCUCCGUGCUCCUGAGCCGUUUUCGAUGAUGGAAUUUUCGAAUCGACGAUCGGCUCCGUUAGACUUGAUCUAGCACAUUUGAAGUUUCUAGAAAAUAAUUUUUGCGAUUUUUCGAUAUCAUUUACCUAGUGAUCGAAAGGAUUCAAAAUCCAUAAUUUUUAAUGGCUGAUAUCUGCCGUUUUCAAGUUUAACGGUGUAGAAGUAUUCAAAUCAGAUGAAAUUUUGAUAGAAAAUUCUUUAUACUAUCUACAACAAGAUCUAUAUUUCUGAUCGAAAAUUUUAGUGCUAUAUCACCACUUUUUAUAGGAUUUUUAUUUUCAGCCGUUAAAAAUUAUUGAUUUUGAAUCCUUUCGAUUGCUAGGUAAAUGAUAUCGAAAAAUCGCAAAAAUUAUUUUCUAGAAACUUUAAAUACGCUAGAUCAAGUUUAACGGAGCCGAUCGUCGAUUCAAAAACUCCAUCAUCGAAAAUGACUCAGGAGCACGGAGGCCUCCGUGCUCCUGAGAGCACAGCAGCCCUGCUCUAUAUAUAUAUAUAUAUAUAUAUAUAUAUAACUAGACUGAAAUACUAUCAAUAGCAGAGCUUAGUGCUAUCAGUUUUUUAGCUUUUAGGAUUGAGAAAUGUACGAUUAGGAUGAUGUGGGCCCCCUAGUGUUGAGUAGGUGGUUGGUUGAAUAAUAUAAUAUAACGAAUAAAAAUAAUCAGACAGUUAAAUCUAACAAUAAAAAUAAUCAAAGGGUUAUAUCUAACGGUAAAAUAUGCUAUCGAUAGUAUCCCAGCCGGACUCUAUAUAUAUAUAUAUAAUUUUUAGAAACAUAACGUAAUUUUUUGUUUGAAAUAUUAUAGUAUAUAAUAAACAAUAUAAAAUCUUAAAAAUACAUACAUUAUAUCAUGUAUGAGUAUUUUAUCAUUCCAAAUUUAUAUGAUAUAAAAUUAAUAAAAAUUUUAUUAUUAUAGAGUCAAUAUUAUAAAAAUUAUAUAUUUUUAAAAAUAUAAAUGGGAGAAUUCAUGGGUAUUCGCGGGUUGUUCAAAAUACCUAUCACUUAACAAAUACUCAUCUGUUUUAUUUAUAAUUUUUCCGAUAAGAAAAGCUAAUAUUUAUAUAUGUAAAUUUGUGAGUAGUCCGUGGGUACCC
rnacentral:lncRNA from 1 species